rnacentral:rRNA from 1 species
GACGAACGCUGGCGGCGUGCUUAACACAUGCAAGUCGAACGGAAAGGCCCUGCUUUUGUGGGUUGCUCGAGUGGCGAACGGGUGAGUAACACGUGAGUAACCUGCCCUUGACUUUGGGAUAACUUCAGGAAACUGGGGCUAAUACCGGAUAGGAGCUCCUGCUGCAUGGUGGGGGUUGGAAAGUUGUGGCGGUUGGGGAUGGACUCGCGGCUUAUCAGCUUGUUGGUGGGGUAGUGGCUUACCAAGGCUUUGACGGGUAGCCGGCCUGAGAGGGUGACCGGCCACAUUGGGACUGAGAUACGGCCCAGACUCCUACGGGAGGCAGCAGUGGGGAAUAUUGCACAAUGGGCGGAAGCCUGAUGCAGCAACGCCGCGUGCGGGAUGACGGCCUUCGGGUUGUAAACCGCUUUCGCCUGUGACGAAGCGUGAGUGACGGUAAUGGGUAAAGAAGCACCGGCUAACUACGUG